rnacentral:rRNA from 1 species
CGUAGCCUACGGGGGGCAGCAGUGGGGGAUAUUGCACAAUGGGGGGAACCCUGAUGCAGCGACGCCGCGUGGGUGAAGAAGCGCCUCGGCGCGUAAAGCCCUGUCAGCAGGGAAGAAAAUGACGGUACCUGAAGAAAAAGCAUCGGCUAACUCCGUGCCAGCAGCCGCGGUAAUACGGAGGAUGCGAGCGUUAUCCGGAUUUAUUGGGUUUAAAGGGUGCGUAGGCGGUCCGGAAAGUCAGCGGUAAAAGCCCGGGGCUCAACCCCGGCGAGCCGUUGAAACUGUCGGACUAGAGACGGCGAGAA